rnacentral:rRNA from 1 species
ACAGAGCUGGCGUAUCUGGUCUGCAUUCAUCCGUGUGUUCUUGGGCGUUUGGAUUGCCACUCUCCAGACUGGGAUGGUGUUCAUUCUGUUCAGGGGCUCAUGGAGCAUUUGCAGGCGGAGUGCGCUGAGAUGCUCGGAACAGCUGUAUGAGCUUGGCUUUGAGGCCAGCCCUUCGGGGUCUGGUACCCGGGCUGUGGGAGUGCUGUUUGUUCUGGGUGCUGAGUGUGUGCAAUGGCAACGGGUCCGUGUUGGUUUGAGCUGGCGGUCGGUGGCGGUCGCGUGCGACACGUGCCAGCAGUCAGUUCGGUCCUGCUCGGGCUCUCAUUGCAUGUUCUCGGUGUAAAAGCCGGUCAUCUGUCCGACCCGUCUUGAAACACGGACCAAGGAGUUUAGCGUGUGCGCGAGUCAUUGGGAGUUGAAAACCCAAGGGCGUAAUGAAAGUGAAGGUCUCCUUGCGGAGCUGAUGUGUGAUCUCGUGCACCCCGGUGUGCGGGCGCAACAUAGUCCCGUCCCGAUCGCAUGCGAUGGGGCGGAGACAGAGCGUACGCGCUGAGACCCGA